GACUAACCUCGCCUCAUAACGAGGCCGUGACCUGUAUUUGCUCGGAGCUGUCUGCAGGUCCAGAUUUACAUUACGCUGAUAAUGACGCCAUUGUGUCUGCCUGUAAGACAUAUUACGAGACAGCACGCAGGAACUUCGGGUAGAAACAACCAGAUGUGGCAUCGCGGGCAGAAGCUGUGACGAGUUCAGCUCGGAGUCGGUCGAGAAGAAAAGAGGCUGCUGGAAGCGAGACAGAGUGUGCUGGCUGCGGGUGAGGUGGGCAUUUGGAAGUGUGCCACCAUAGACAUACAGGACAACGCACCACAGACGUCUGCUAAAUGGACCAAAUUCAGACCAAAUGCUGCCGGUUACCUACAGCUCCGAGGCAGCCGCGGGUUAGGUGUGGACGGUGCUGCUUCUCGUGAGCAUGGGAUAUUUGUUGUGUGUGCC